rnacentral:rRNA from 1 species
CACUGUCACUCCUACGGGGAGGCAGCAGUGGGGGAAUAUUGCACAAUGGGCGCAAGCCUGAUGCAGCCAUGCCGCGUGUGUGAAGAAGGCCUUCGGGUUGUAAAGCACUUUCAGUCGUGAGGAAGGUAGUGUAGUUAAUAGCUGCAUUAUUUGACGUUAGCGACAGAAGAAGCACCGGCUAACUCCGUGCCAGCAGCCGCGGUAAUACGGAGGGUGCGAGCGUUAAUCGGAAUUACUGGGCGUAAAGCGCAUGCAGGUGGUUUGUUAAGUCAGAUGUGAAAGACCCGGGGCUCAACCUCGGAAUUGCAUUUGAAACUGGCAAACUAGAGUACUGUAGAGGGGGGUAGGAAUUUCAGGUGUAGCGGUGAAAUGCGUAGAGAUCUGAAGGAAUACCGGUGGCGAAGGCGGCCCCCUGGACAGAUACUGACACUCAGAUGCGAAAGCGUGGGGAGCAAACAGGAUUAGAUACCCUGGUAG